rnacentral:rRNA from 1 species
AGCUGGUUUGAAACUGUUAGGGAAGCUCAAGAUUGCUUACUCACUGAAGCUAAGCAAGACUGAGCCUGGUCAGUACCUGGAUGGGAGACCACAUGGGAAAAUCAGGUUGCUGUUG